rnacentral:rRNA from 1 species
UACGUAGGUGGCAAGCGUUAUCCGGAAUUACUGGGUGUAAAGGGCGUGUAGGCGGGGAGGCAAGUCAAAUAUGAAAUUCCAGAGCUCAACUCUGGCGCUGCAUUUGAGACUGCUUCUCUUGAGUACUGGAGAGGAAAGUGGAAUUCCUAGUGUAGCGGUGAAAUGCGUAGAUAUUAGGAGGAACACCAGUGGCGAAGGCGACUUUCUGGACAGUAACUGACGCUGAGGCGCGAAAGCGUGGGGAGCAAACAGG